rnacentral:rRNA from 1 species
AACGAGAAAGCCCCCUUCGGGGGGUGAGUAAAGUGGCGAAAGGGUGAGUAAUGCGUAGAUAACCUACCCUCGAGCCCGGGAUAACAGUCCGAAAGGGCUGCUAAUACCGGAUGGUGCGCGGGCGGCCUCGGCCGCUCGAGCUAAAGGUGGGGACCUUCGGGCCUGCCGAUCGAGGAGGGGUCUACGUCCUAUUAGCUUGUUGGUGGGGUAACGGCCCACCAAGGUGACGAUGGGUAGCCGGCCUGAGAGGGUGUCCGGCCACACUGGGACUGAGACACUGCCCAGACUCCUACGGGAGGCUGCAGUCGAGAAUCUUCCGCAAUGGGCGAAAGCCUGACGGAGCGACGCCGCGUGGACGAUGAAGGCCUUCGGGUUGUAAAGUCCUUUCGCGCAGGAGGAAAAUCUGUGCGUUAAUAGCGCGCAGUUUGACGUUACUGUGUAAAGAAGCUCCGGCUAACUUCGUGCCAGCAGCCGCGGUAAGACGAAGGGAGCGAGCGUUGUUCGGAAUCACUGGGCAUAAAGGGCACGCAGGCGGCCUGGUAAGUUGGAUGUGAAAUCCCCUGGCUCACCCAGGGAACUGCAUUCAAUACUGCCGGGCUUGAGCUCGGGAGGGGAGAGUGGAACUCCUAGUGUAGCGGUGAAAUGCGUAGAUAUUAGGAGGAACGCCGGUGGCGAAAGCGACUCUCUGGCCCGAUGCUGACGCUCAGGUGCGAA